CUUCCUUGAGGGGCCCACAUUCUUAUGGAAGGGAAGGGAAGACACACACAAUAAACAGUAAUCACAGCAAAUGGGUACCUUAUACGGUACAUGGCACAGGAUAAAGAGAUACGGGGAAAACAGCUUUGAGUAGAGGGGACCAGGAGUACUGAGGCUGUAAGGGAGAAUAGGUUACAGUAUUAAACAUGCUAGUCUAGGAAGGCUUCAUUAAGGAGGUGCAGGAAAAGAGCAAAUUAGCCAAGAUGGUGCGGUCAGGCUCUCUCGCCCCUCAUCCUCUCGGCCCUCCCCCCACGUUCUGUGAAUACAGAUUAUGUUAACAACCGAGAUCACGUCUAGUACUGCAAUGCGGGGCACGAGGAAGGUCCACCAGAGCUUUGCUGGCCUCUCUACAAAGUAAUAAAGCUUGCUUUGCAGAUUGCAAUAAAAGAAUCUCAAAAACAAAGAAUGCCACCAUCAGUACACAGGAAAAAUGGGGAGAAGAAAGAUGCCAUUGUAAAGACCCACAGGGUAGGCAGAAAUGAAGUCUGAUUUGGGAAUUUAAAGAUGACCUCAACAUUUUUUUUUUUUUUUUUUUACAGUAUUGGUCAGUUACAGGGGUAGUGGAGGAAAAGACAGUCUAGUCAUUUAAGGAAGUAAAAGAUACUUAACUGCUACAGAGAAAGAAAUUUUAAUGGACGUAGAAACAAUCCUUUGCAAGAAGUGCAGGCAAAUGCAAAAUGGCAUUAUUAAGUAAUGCUAUUAAGGAGCCCAUUCUUUAAUCAUUCACACCUCUGAAUCCUCUUGGAGUUCCCCGAAUUCCCGGUCCUCUGC
ensembl:lncRNA